AACGAACGCUGGCGGCAUGCCUAACACAUGCAAGUCGAACAAGUACCUUCGGGUGCUAGUGGCGCACGGGUGAGUAACGCGUGGGAACCUGCCUUUCGGUACGGGAUAACGUCGGGAAACUGACGCUAAUACCGUAUAUGUCUUUGGAUGAAAGAUUUAUCGCCGGAAGAGGGGCCCGCGUGUGAUUAGGUAGUUGGUGAGGUAACGGCUCACCAAGCCUUCGAUCAGUAGCUGGUCUGAGAGGAUGAUCAGCCACACUGGGACUGAGACACGGCCCAGACUCCUACGGGAGGCAGCAGUGGGGAAUAUUGGACAAUGGGCGCAAGCCUGAUCCAGCAAUGCCGCGUGAGUGAUGAAGGCCUUCGGGUUGUCAAGCUCUUUUGCCUGCGACGAUGAUGACGGUAGCAGGAGAAUAAGCCCCGGCUAACUUCGUGCCAGCCGCCGCGGUAA
rnacentral:rRNA from 1 species